rnacentral:lncRNA from 1 species
AUAAUGAAUACACGCAAACUCAUCUAGUUUUCAGUUAUUAUGUCGGGCUUAUAAGCCCGCUUGUGUCCCAGAAUAUCUGCAUGGCUAUGUAUCCUGUAAUUUAAUUUCUGGCCAUGUGCUUGCAAGUCGCGUGUCAAUCUCCUGAUUUUCCUGACAAUCUUGUAAGACGCGCAGGCCCAGACAGUUUCUGGUGAAUCCAUGCAGGGUGUUGUGCAGGGUGUAAUCUGCACUACAAGUGCUGCUUUGAUUGCUUUCAUUUCAGUUUUUCUAGGUGUAGGAUGACCUGGAAUGGUACUCACUUAUAUGGGGUUUAGUUUUAUGUAGUGCCAUACUACUGUUACACUGCUAUUGCGAGAUCAGUGUACUAUAUGUGCCUUAUGUUUGCUUGCAUCUUCAUGAUUAGCAACCUCCUCUGUGUGUUUGGCAGUUGCAUAUAGUCUCCUGGCCUAAUUGUUUGCCCCCAUAUUUCACGGUAUGGGCCUGUUGUGUUUCAAGUUCAGGUACUCCCGAGGUUGUGUUUCUGAAGGGAGGGGUAGUAGUCUUUGCAUCUCAUAUGCUAGCUGGCAUAGUAUCUUGGGACGAGGUUCUGAGCUCUUGAGACAAAGAAUUUGUGCUGCAGGCUGCAACUCUACUCUGUCUAGGUGCUUGUUCGUUAGCUCUUUCUCAUAGAGGUCUUCAAGCAUGGUAAAGUUGGAAAGACCUGUUAUUACUACCCGAUGCCUGUAUUCGAUGAGUUGUCUUUUUUAUGUGCUGCUGGUAAUUCGUACCGAACCAUACCUUGGACACAAGCACAGCAUCUGCGAUUUUCUAUAGUGUCCACUCGUCCACCCCCAUUAUUUCGAGAUUGUUCUUUUCACCAGGUGUGGAAGUUGCGUCCAGGCAUUGCAUAAUUGCUUCACCCACGUGCUGGCUCUGCCGUCAUGGGCUUACACUAGCUGAGGGUUUGUGGAUGUUGACUUGCGGGCAUAUUUGUCCAGCUAUGUGGAUCACAAUGUGCAAUCUCGGGUAGUUGUUGAUUCUAGUCUUUCUUUUUUUUCCCGACGUCGAUAUGAGCUGACUGAUCAGAAAGCGAGAGGCCAGACUGGCCAAAAAAGUCUGCAAUGUUGUCGAGGGCUUGUUGCAUCAUUCUUGAUUUCUGUAUAAGAUAGCUUUCCCAUAGACUGUAAUACACCAUAGGCUGUAGUGUUUCUUUUAGUAUGCCCGUGUUGUUGGUGUGUGUGGGCCAAAUGUACCUCCAACUCUCACCUGGAAUUUUCUGUCUUUCAGAAAGUUACUGUUUAAGCGCUCUACCAGAAAUGUUUUUGCUCAUCGUUCCUCUUAUUAGAGCAGCAUGAGGUACUGCUGUUAAAAGCCUCUUCACUCUCUUCAUUCUUUCAUAAGCGGUAUUACACAAUGUCGUGCAAUAAACUUUCUGCUGCUUAUGGCCCACUCAUAUCUGCCAGAAGGGACAACUCUUGAAGAAGGUUUUCUUUGUACCAUGUGUGCGACGUAGUAUGAGCAUUCAUGCCUUGACAUUUAUACAUCUGUAGAACCAGCUUUCUGACAGAGUACUUGCUAUACCUGAUCAUGCUUAUUUGUGCAGUGCUGUUGAACAAUACAUAUUGAUGCAAUGAAUAUUUACACACUCGAAUUAUCACGAAAGAUGGUUGUUUUACAAUUCUGCCCUCUGCUUUCUAUUGCUUUUCUAUUGGUGUUAAAUUUUGCAUAAGCAUGCCCCCUAUGCAAUAGAAUUUUGAAGUGUAAGGGUUCAAUAAAAGGUGAUGAACUAAAUCUAAGUGCAAGAGCUUUUUUUUUCCACCUAUGUCUCCCAUCGAAAUGCAACUUCCAUGGCUCGCAAAUCAACCCCUCGCCUUGUGUUAGCAGCAGAUUACUGUAGCCACAGUGGCAGGUGAACAAAUUGAAGAACAAUAUUUCUGUCUAUAAUUUUUUUUCUUGCCUGUAUUAAUGUUUGGAAUAAGUUUGUCAUUGCAAAAAAGCCCAGUUUGUGGUCUUUUAUUGAAUAAACCACAUAUUGUGUAUA